ensembl:lncRNA RNF157-AS1 RNF157 antisense RNA 1
GGGAGCUGAGCACUACCCCACCCCCGAGGGGACAGUGUGUGUACGGGGACGCCCUCUCUAACAUCAUCCCCGCAGCUGGGGAGGAUCUUUUAGUGCCGAGAGAGAAGAAAACAAAUCCAUUCCACGGGCUAGGGAAUGUCGGUGAAACAACCUGGCCACACCGCACUUCUUAGAAGCAAAUAUUCUAUGGGAGAAACAAUCACAAGGGGUAACUCUAGAGCCUCAAGCACUGAAGUCAUCAACUGAGUUGGUGACACUCCAAACCCCCUUGGGCUGGGGUGCAAGAGCUGACGGACGCAGCCUUGGCGGCCACCUUCUCCUUCAAGCUCCUUGGCCAGGUGGGAGCCGUCAGGUCCACAUGCACACCUCCAACACUUCCCAAGCGAUGGCCAGCGCUAAAGCAGAAGCAAUAGGAUGACAUCUGCUGGUGCGUCUGUAUCCAGGCCGGGCA